GCUCACGGCAACGCCGGAUCGUUAACCCACUGAGCAAGGGCAGGGACCGAACCCGCAACCUCAUGGUUCCUAGUCGGAUUCGUUAACCACUGCGCCACGACGGGAACUCCAGUUACUCUUUUUCUUUGGGAAGUACAUUCCUCCCGUGGCUGUGAUGCUCCCAGGAAAGAAAUAAGUGUGUUUUGUGAUAAGGAGAGGGCGUUAAGACUCUUUGGGCAUCUCCCUGUCUACCUGAUCACACUAAUCCAAGCUGCUAUCUGAUUUAAUAACAGAUUUCAUGAUCAGCAAAGGAAAGGUGAAUUUUCUUCAACAAGAGGGAAUGUCCUAGAUGGAUUUUAGCAUCUUUGGAUCUCAAAAACAAAUUGUUAAGAUGAAAAAAAGCCACUUGUGGAAUGACCCACAGUGUGACACCAUUUAUACAAUUUUUUUUUAAUGGCUGCACCCAGGGCACAUGGAAAUUCCCAGGCCAGCGAUUGAAUCCAAGCUGCAGCUGUGUCCGAUGCCGCCGCAGCUGCAGCAACACUGAUCCUUUAACCCAUUGCACUGAGCCGUAGAUCGAACCCGUGCUUCUGCAGUGACGGGAGCCGCUGCAGUUGGAUUCUUAACCCACUGCACCACAGUGGGAACUCCUAUAUAACUUGUAAGUAACACAAAGAACGGUGCAAUGCAUUAUUUACGGAUUCCCACAGGUCUGCUGGCACAGUGCUUAUACUGUGUAUCCACAUCACCUGGGGAUCAUGUUUAGCAGCAGGCUCUGAUUUAACAGGUCUGGGGAGGGGCCUGAAAUUCUGCCCUCUCACAAGCUCCCAGAGAUGCCAGUGCUCCGCUCCUUCAGGAGAGAAGAGAUGCAGGUCAAGUGAAACUGUUCUUUUGUCAUUUCGCUCCAUCUGGGUGCUAGAACCUCUCGUGUGUACUUCCGGACUCCCUCCCACAAAGGUGUACCUGAAAACUGAAUCUUUUAUUUUCCAUUUUGCCGUCACAUCACACAACCUCUAUCCGCAGGGAGGACAAGGCCUGGAAGCCCUCGUCAAACGGUUUCAUUUACCUCCAACUGCCAGAAACCGGGGGAAGCAGGGCCUUUAGAAGAAUCGAGGUGUAUCUGUGUUUUUUUUGAAAGGAGAUGUUUGUCCAGGUUCAAGCACUGCACCCUCUGUGGCAAGCGUCCCAGGUCCCAGGUCUCAGCCUGUCUCAGUUGCAUAGAAGAGAGACCCAGGAAAGGAAAGAUCAUAAUCCCUGAUAAUCUGCAGGUGAAAGGUUUGAAUGUUGGGUCCUGGGUCACCUUUGUGGCAAGUCACUUUUUAUACCCUAACCCAAUAUAAAGGGACUUUUCACAUAUACAUGUGAUGUCCUUUUCAAAGGAAGACCGUUGAACCAAGGAAUUAUUAUCUUGGUGGGUGUGUGUGUGUGUGUGUGUGUGUGUGUGUGUGUGUGUGUACUUUUCUCUCUGGAUACUAGAUGUCUGGUGUGUGUCCUUAAAUUUUCAAUCUUCCUUCCCUACUCCAGUAAUAGUUGGAAGUGUCUAUCCCUCAGUUGCUGAUUUCUUAUUUAGAAGAUGUUAAAGAGGAACUGGGACCCAAUCUCUGAAAACUUAACUCGGAGGAGCUAUUGAAACAGCAGGAUCCGGAUGCUUAAAACCAGGUACAGGAUAGAGGACAGUUGAAUCCUUGCAAUUUCUGAGCCUGUCUCCAAAUCCUCAAUACCUAUUACUUUUUUUUUU